UAGAGGAAGUAAAAGUCGUAACAAGGUCUCCGUUGGUGAACCAGCGGAGGGAUCAUUACCGAGUUUACAACUCCCAAACCCCUGUGAACAUACCACUUGUUGCCUCGGCGGAUCAGCCCGCUCCCGGUAAAACGGGACGGCCCGCCAGAGGACCCCUAAACUCUGUUUCUAUAUGUAACUUCUGAGUAAAACCAUAAAUAAAUCAAAACUUUCAACAACGGAUCUCUUGGUUCUGGCAUCGAUGAAGAACGCAGCAAAAUGCGAUAAGUAAUGUGAAUUGCAGAAUUCAGUGAAUCAUCGAAUCUUUGAACGCACAUUGCGCCCGCCAGUAUUCUGGCGGGCAUGCCUGUUCGAGCGUCAUUUCAACCCUCAAGCACAGCUUGGUGUUGGGACUCGCGUUAAUUCGCGUUCCUCAAAUUGAUUGGCGGUCACGUCGAGCUUCCAUAGCGUAGUAGUAAAACCCUCGUUACUGGUAAUCGUCGCGGCCACGCCGUUAAACCCCAACUUCUGAAUGUGACCUCGGAUC
rnacentral:rRNA from 1 species